rnacentral:tRNA from 1 species
GCCCGCGCCGCGUGACGGCCGGGACGCUGCUGUUCGCCGCGGCGGGCGCCGCGCUGUUCGGCGCCGCGCACGGGCUC